rnacentral:lncRNA from 1 species
GACUGGUUAGAUAUAUUGAUGUGCUAACCUAGUUUAAUUAGUUGGAUGUCAGAUCUACUGGUUUAGAAGAGACCUAAAUUCAAAUCUUCUCAAUAAAUAUUAAGUCUAGAGGUCUUCCAUCAUUGUAGAGAUGUGGGUGCUUUCCUGGCAUUGAUCUUUCUCGACUGAUUACAGUGGUUCGGUUGCAUCAGGAAGGUAUAAUCACUCUAUUG